UUUGGCCAUGCAUUCCCGUAGGGCGGCCGCUAGGUCGGCCGAAGCCCACCGGCACAGUCAUGGCCGCUGUCCCCGAGGCGUUUAAGCGCUCUCUACAAACUCGAUAGGAGAAGCCGCUCCCAUCGGGGCGGCAGUCACAAUCUCAGCAGGCGACGUGAGGGCCGCGGAAGGAAUGAACGAGGUGUUCGUGCUCUAGCCUGGAGCACCGUGAGCAGCCUCCCGAGUCUCGCACCCUCACUUGCAAACCCCGGCACUGACUGGUUCUUGCGGGAGCCGGUCAUCGCGGGGCGACCUCCCAAAAUUCUUUCGUGGAACUAGGGAGAGGCUGGAACAACAAUUAGAAACCAGUCAUAAAGUGACCGAAGCCAAAGAACAAGCACUUCUUCCCCCCCGUAUCUUUGUCCAGUGGCAAUGGCUUUUCACACUUGCACAUUUCACUUGCUUGGCAUCUCACCCAGAACCCUAAUAAAUGCU